CACAUUGAGUUGGGGGCUUACACCGUUAGCAUAACCCCCACAUUCCAUACCCUACCUUUCUCCUCUCAUUAGUCCCUCUAUUCCCUGGGACAAUUCUACUUCUCUUUCAUACCAUUCAUAUAUAUACAUGUGUGUGUAUAUAUAUAUAUACAUAUUUGUGUGUGUGUAUGUGUGUUUGUGUAUAUAUGAUUUUUAUUUACCUAUAUUGUUAGUGUACAGCCAAUUGUUAGUAGUACAGUGAUUCAGCUGGCCUGCUCUCAGGGACCUAGCAAAGGCUUAGUUAAUCACCUGCUCAUGCUGUCUUUUUUUCUAAUAUAUAUUUUUUGCAUCUUUGCCAAAAGUCUAAUGACUUUGCCUGUGUGGAUUAGUGUUGUGAAUAGCCCUGGGUCUAAUUACAUUUGAUUUUAAUUCUGUUCUCCUGUGAGGGGUUGUGAACAAGGAAUGAGUCAGCACUCAGGUGAUUUCCUGAAAACCUGCUUCCCACCUUAAUUUGUAAAAUAAAGGAGAGCUGUCAAUUGGGCAGAUAAAGGGAAGAUGGAGUGGAAGGUGAGGAGAGAGAAGAAGGAAAAAAAUGGAAGAGGGGGAGGACAUAGAAGAGGAGGAGGAGGAAGAAAAGCAGCACAAAAGCACAUGGCCUGGAGAAACCACAAGUUCUAAGGGGUCUCAUAGAUGUGGAAGAUGGUAGAGUAGCGGAAGAUCUGCCCAAUCUAGGUGCACAGCAUGUAUUCAUAUUAACUGAGUUGUGUUUUCAUUGCUGGGGUAUAUUUGGGUUGGAGAUUUACCGCAACAGGUUAGUGUCUGGGCUUCUAUUCUAUUUACCUGUGUUUCUUAUUUUGUUGUUGUUGAUGCUGUUACUAUGUCUCAAUAAUAUAAUUUCAAAUCAUGUUGAUGAUACCCCCAGCAUUGCUCUUUGGUCAAGAUUACUCUUUAGCUAUCUGGGAUCUCUUGUAUCCUCAAGGUAUUUGUGUGUGUGUGUGUGUGUGUGUGUGUGUGUGUGUGUGUGUAUGUGUGUGUGUGUGUGUGUAUUGGGGUGUGCACAUGUGAUUGCAGUGCCUGUGGAGGCCAGAAGGGAUCACCCACAGCUGGAAUUAUAGUUUGUUGUGGGUUCCCAGGUCUGGUUGCUGGGUUGCAAACUCCAGUUUUCUAGAAGAGCAGUAUAUGAUCCUAAUUCCUGCACCAGUUCUCCAACACAUCU
rnacentral:lncRNA from 1 species